GGAGGGGUGGCGGAGUCCGGUUGAACGCGCCCGCCUCGAAAGCGGGUAGGCCCGAAAGGGUCUCGGGGGUUCAAAUCCCUCUCCCUCCGCCA
rnacentral:tRNA from 1 species